rnacentral:rRNA from 14 species
CACCAGGUUGAUUCUGCCUGACGUGGACGCUUGCCUCGAAGAUUAAGCCAUGCAAGUCUGUGAAUGUCUGAAACAGUGUACGGCUCAGUAGAACACGUCUAUCUACCCAUUUAUUUUAUAACCACGGGAAACUGUGGCUAAGAGAGUGGAUGAGGAUGUGACCUAUCAGCUUGACGGUACGGUAAGUGCGUACGGUGGCGAUGACGGGUAACGGGGAAUAUGGGUUUUAUUCCGGAGAGGGAGCCUGAGAGAUGGCUCCCACGUCCAAGGACGGCAGCAGGCGCGAAACUUACCCAAUGAACAUUGAGGUAGUUACGAGGUGUCAUUUAUAGAUGACAAGUGUGUAAACAGCAUUUCAAAGUACUGGAGGGCAAGUCUGGUGCCAGCAGCCGCGUAAUUCCAGCUCCAGUAGCGUCUGUGUUUAUUGCUGCGGUUAAAACGUGCGUAGUCUGGUCUGUGGCCUGAGUCAAAGCCGUACUUUCAUAGUGCGACGGAUUUCAGGAAGGUAGAUCUUGAGACAGGGAGGGGGUAAUGAUAUUUGGUAGCGAGAGGUGAAAAUCGAUGACCUACCAAGGAGCAACAGAGGCGAAAGCGAUUACCCGGAACUGAUCUGACGAUCAAGCACGUGAGCAGGAGUAUCGAAGAGGAUUAGAGACCCACGUAGUUCCUUGCAGUCAACGAUGCCAACGGUGUGGUGAUUUAGGUCAUUGCGCAAGCGAAAGCUAGUGUAUGGGCUCCGGGGAUAGUACGGACGCAAGUUUGAAACUUGAAGAAAUUGACGGAAGGACACCACAAGGAGUGGAGUGUGCGGGUUAAUUUGACUCAACGCGGGAAAUCUUACCCGGGCAGGCAAUAGUCGAGGGAUGUAAUAGCAGAUGACAUUGCGCGUGGUGCAUGGCCGUUCUUAACACGUGGAGUGAUCUGUCUGGUCAAAUCUGAUAACGCGUGAGAGGCGAGUCAUUAUUUGAGACGGUGUGUGUAAGCACAAGGAAGCGACGCCCAAUAACAGGUCUGUGAUGCCCGUAGAUGUUCGGGGCUCCACGCGCACUACAAUCCCCUGUCCUUGAGAUAGAGAGUAGCAGGUCUUAGUUGGGAUUGAUGCAUGUAAGUGUGUCAUGAACGUGGAAUCCCUAGUAGUUGGUAGUCACUAGCGACUAGCGAAUGAGUCCCUGUUCUUUGUGACACACCGCCCGUCGUUAUCUAAGAUGGAUGUGUCGGGUGAGAAKKUGCGUAGCAACAACGAUAGUCUGUCGUAAGACAGAUUAUCAGUUUGUUAGGUUUGUUGGUAACAGCAGACCGAGCGAAAGCAGAAGAACCCGUGCAGCUAGAUUGGAUGUNNNNNNNNNNNNNNNNNNNNNNNNNNNNNNNNNNNNNNNNNNNNNN